CCUGCUAACUACGUGCCAGAAGCAUCGGUGAUGCGUAGGGUGCGAACGUUAUCCGGAUUUAUUGGGCGUAUAGAGAAGCGUAGGUGUUUUUGUAAGUCUUUAGUUAAAUACCACGGCUCAACCGUGGGGAAGCUUCGGAAACUACAGAAAUUGAGACAGGAAUGGGCGAAUGGAAUUCCCAGUGGAGCGGUGAAAUGCGUUGAUAUUGGGAGGAACAUCAGUGGCGAAGGCGAUUCGCUGGUCCUUGUCUGACACUAAGGCUCGAAAGCGUGGGGAGCGAAACGGAUUAGAUACCCGUGUAGUCCACGCCGUAAACAAUGGACGCUAGGUGUUCGGUACAACUACUUAAUCCUUCGGGAUUGAAUGGAAGUAUUGAGUACUGCAGCUAACGCGUUAAGCGUCCCGCCUGGGAAGUACGGCCGCAAGGCUAAAACUCAAAUGAAUUGACGGGGGCCCGCACAAGCGGAGGAGCGCGUGGUUUAAUUCGACGGCAAUCGAAGAACCUUACCAGGGUUUGAAAUGUAUCUGCAUGCCCCAUGAAAGUGGGGAGGCUUUCGAAGGUGAUACACAGGUGCUGCAUGGCCGUCGUCAGCUCGUGUCGUGAGAUGUAGGGUUAAGUCCCGAAACGAGCGCAACCCCUAUCCCAUGUUACAAGUGUCUUGGGAAACCGCCUCGGUAAAACGAGGAGGAAGGUGGGGAUGACGUCUGGUCCGCAUAGCCCUUAUGUCCUGGGCUACACACACGCUACAAUGGCCAAUACAGUAGGAAGCCAAAUCGUAAGAUGGAGCUGAUCCUCAAAGUUGGUCUCAGUUCGGAUUGAGGUCUGAAACUCGACCUCAUGAAGUUGGAUUCGCUAGUAAUCGUGAAUCAGCCAUGUCACGGUGAAUACGUUCUCGGGUCUUGCACACACCGCCCGUCAAGCCAUGGAAGUAGGUGAUACCCGAAGGUGUUCUGUCUCUUGUAGAUGGAAUGACGAAGGUAACGCUUAUAACUGGGGUUAAGUCGUAACAAGGUAGCCGUAGGGGAAUCUGCGGCUG
rnacentral:rRNA from 1 species